rnacentral:rRNA from 1 species
AGACGUCUACAUUAGAUACCCGUGUAGUCCCAGCCGUAAACUAUGCGCGUUAGGUGUAUCGGUGACCACGAGUCACCGAGGUGCCGAAGGGAAACCGUGAAACGUGCCGCCUGGGAAGUACGGUCGCAAGGCUGAAACUUAAAGGAAUUGGCGGGGAGCACCACAACGGGUGGAGCCUGCGGUUUAAUUGGACUCAACGCCGGGAAGCUCACCGGAUAAGACAGCGGAAUGAUUGCCGGGCUGAAGACUCUGUCAUGACUAGCUG